GCAUGAUUAUUGUUGUGAGACGUAUUUAUAUUAAUUUAAUUUUAAUUCGCGCAGUCAGACAUUUAUUCACAUAAUGCUGUUUGUCAUAUUUUAUGUAUACUCGAUGAUUGUCACUACAGAAGCUUCUUUGGCCAAAACGGCUUUAUGUAAACUUCCACAAUCAAAAAAGGAUUUCGAUUGGGAGAAGGUUCCGAAGGAUAAUUGGUAUCAAAUACUAAACGUUGGCGACAUUCUUGAUGAAGCAGUAUCGUGUUUUGGCGCAAAGAAUUUUCGAAAAACGGAUUUUGGCGGGGUAUAUACUUCGCUGUGGACGUGGGAAAUGCAAAACAACAUACUGUUGAGUUUAAAUUUCAUCGUGAGGGACUGAAUCGAUACAUCCGGUAUCGUGAUGAAGACCAGUCAUUCAUUUAUGAUAUGAAAAAUGCUAGGAAACAGCAUCAUCUGGAAGAUAAAAGCAUGGAUUCUGACGCAAAUAUCUACUAUAAAUUUCCAGAAAGUUAUUACUCAGAUUAUAAAUCUUACAUCAUUGUACCACAAUGCGGAUUUAAAGGAAAACAUUUCCUAUGGGUGUUGACUAGAACACCAAGUCCAUCUGCAACAGAUUUGAUCAAAAUAACGACCGUCAUCGAAAAGAUGGGAAAUGAGUGGGCUGAAGUACCUUUAUACAUGUCAGGGUGUCCGGCGUUAGAUGGUAACAACUACAUGGAUGUGUGAAAUAUUUAAAACAUUUUUUCUCUUGUUAAUUUAAAUAACACAUUAAUUUAAAUGCAUCUUAUACGAAUGGAUCUUUGUGGACUAAAUUUGAAUGUUGAUAAAAUCGAAGAUUGAUUUACACUCCUGUCCAAUUCCUAUUCAGCUAAUACAAUUUAUAUAACGUGUACGUCUUUUAUCAGAACAUGUAUUUGUUUGGGAAAUGGGGAAAGUUAUAAUCUUGGCAUGUGCCGGAACAGGAUUCAAUAUCAAUCUAUACGUAGUGGAUUUUAAAAUAUUAUUUCUAAACGGAAUACAGUGCAUGAAAUUUUAAUUUACGGUGUUAAAGAAUAAGAAUACAUAUUAUAUAUAUGGUUAUGGCCUCCUAUAAUUAUAACUAUGGUCUGUGGCAUUAAGGUUAUCUAUUUCAUUAAUCGAAGUUUGUGCUGUCGAAUUCACAUCGCUUAUUGUUGCAUAAUUUCCAUCAAUCAGGACAACCAGCACGAUGAAAUGAUAUGAAUUUAUGUCAUAUAUUACGGAUAAAUUAUAAAUCAAUAUGACAUCUCUCCUUUUUGAGUGGAAUCCGGUAUUGAUCAAUUUUUCAUCAACACAUGUGCAAACAAAAUUGCACGUUAGGCUUAAUGUACGACGGUGAUAGCUUUCGAAACGAGGCUUUACAACAGCUUUCAAAAUGAAGUCAGUAUAUAUUACCCUGCUGAUCUCAAUUGCUGUGUCUCUUGUUAGUAGUCUGUUGCAAUGUCGACUUCCAGAGAAAAAAAUGUUGGUGGACUGGCAACGACUCAGUGGCGAGUGGUAUGAGAUUCUAAAUGCUAACGUCACGGUAGAUGAAUUAAGCAGCAAUUGCUAUGGGAUGAAGGAAAUACAACAAACCGAGCUGGGCGGAGUGUUAAAAGAAAUCGACUAUCAUUUAAGUGAAAAAACCUACGACGUCAUUACUGUUCGAUAUAUAUUGAAUCGGAAUAGUGGAUAUUAUUGGAUUGGCUCAGAAGCCGAUUACAAAUGGACAUUGGAAUUUGGAGCUGAUGUGUCUGGCCGUUCACGUCAGAUCGGAGAAGUUGCAAAAAAGAUAGCAAAAACGUUAUCUAAAAAUCUACAUCUCCACUGAUUAUGAUAAUGUAAUAAUUUUUGCGAGUUGCCUCGAAGAAAGUAUUGAAGGCCAAAAUAGAGGAAUUUGGGCAUACGGAAGAAGCACAAAUACUACAGCGAACGACGUAUUACGUGUUGUGAACCAACUCGUUCACAUGGGAGAUGAAUGGAGUGCAACACCCUUAUUUAGGACGGGAUGCGUAGGGACUGAACUGGCCGUGGAUUGCAAAAAUAAAUGAAAAGUAAUCAUUACGGACUUCGAGCAACCACUGACCACCAGCACGCAACCAUCGUUAGCGGUGACGAAAUACGGUCGCUGCGAAGAAACCUUAAUGAUUUGAUUUCCGCAUGUCAGAAUAGUAGCAUCACGUUUUGAACUGGACCUAUAUAAUACCAAACAUAGCGUAUAUUCAGGUUAUUUUUUUGAAAAAUAAUUGAAAGUGGUUUUGUAUUUGAACUUAAUUUACAUUAUCUUUUUACUUUUUAGAUAGAUAAUACAGCAAUAUUGGACGUCUAAUA